rnacentral:rRNA from 1 species
UGAACGCUGGCGGCAUGCCUUACACAUGCAAGUCGAACGGCAGCACGGGUGCUUGCACCUGGUGGCGAGUGGCGAACGGGUGAGUAAUACAUCGGAACAUGUCCUGUAGUUGGGGAUAGCCCGGCGAAAGCCGGAUUAAUACCGCAUACGAUCUACGGAUGAAAGCGGGGGACCUUCGGGCCUCGCGCUAUAGGGUUGGCCGAUGGCUGAUUAGCUAGUUGGUGGGGUAAAGGCCUACCAAGGCGACGAUCAGUAGCUGGUCUGAGAGGACGACCAGCCACACUGGGACUGAGACACGGCCCAGACUCCUACGGGAGGCAGCAGUGGGGAAUUUUGGACAAUGGGCGAAAGCCUGAUCCAGCAAUGCCGCGUGUGUGAAGAAGGCCUUCGGGUUGUAAAGCACUUUUGUCCGGAAAGAAAUCCUUGGCCCUAAUACGGUCGGGGGAUGACGGUACCGGAAGAAUAAGCACCGGCUAACUACGUG